rnacentral:rRNA from 1 species
UACGUAGGGGGCAAGCGUUGUCCGGAUUUAUUGGGCGUAAAGAGCGUGUAGGCGGCCUGACAGGUCUGCUGUGAAAACUCGAGGCUCAACCUCGAGAUGUCGGCGGAAACCGUCUGGCUAGAGUCCGGAAGAGGAGAGUGGAAUUCCUGGUGUAGCGGUGAAAUGCGCAGAUAUCAGGAGGAACACCGGUGGCGAAGGCGGCUAUCUGGACAGAGUCUGACGAUGAGGCGCGAAAGCUAGGGGAGCAAACAGG